AAAUUGAAGAGUUUGAUCAUGGCUCAGAUUGAACGCUGGCGGCAGGCCUAACACAUGCAAGUCGAGCGGUAGCACAGAGAGCUUGCUCUCGGGUGACGAGCGGCGGACGGGUGAGUAAUGUCUGGGAAACUGCCUGAUGGAGGGGGAUAAC
rnacentral:rRNA from 1 species